CCAAGGUCCCUUUCCCGGACCUCCGGACGACGGUUCAGUACCCGGUGCGCGACAAGACUGGCCAAA
rnacentral:ncRNA from 1 species